rnacentral:rRNA from 1 species
UACGUAGGGUGCGAGCGUUGUCCGGAAUUACUGGGCGUAAAGAGCUCGUAGGUGGUUUGUCGCGUUGUCCGUGAAAACUCACAACUCAAUUGUGGGCGUGCGGGCGAUACGGGCAGACUGGAGUACUGCAGGGGAGACUGGAAUUCCUGGUGUAGUGGUGAAAUGCGUAGAGAUCCGGAGGAACACCAGAGGCGAAGGCGGCCUGCUGGGCUGCACCUGACGCUGAGCCGCGAAAGCCAGGGGAGCGAACGGG